CAACGGCCGCGGUAUUUUGACCGUGCAAAGGUAGCGCAAUCACUUGUCUUUUAAAUAAAGACCUGUAUGAAUGGCAUAACGAGGGCUUAACUGUCUCCUUUACCCGGUCAAUGAAAUUGAUCUCCCCGUGCAGAAGCGGGGAUGUUAAUAUAAGACGAGAAGACCCUGUGGAGCUUCAGACAAUAGAGGGAUUUUAUGUAAUAAACCUAAAAAGGAAUAAACAAGUUCACAUUCCCUCCAAUGUCUUCGGUUGGGGCGACCGCGGAGUAAAAAAUAACCUCCAUGAGGAUUAGGGUUUUGACCUUAAACCCCARAACGACAGUUCAAAGAAGCAAAAUUUUUGACCUAAGGAUCCGGCACAGCCRAUCAACGAACCGAGUUACCCCAGGGAUAACAGCGCAAUCCCCUUCAAGAGUCCCUAUCGACAAGGGGGUUUACRACCUCGAUGUUGGAUCAGGGUAUCCUAAUGGUGUAGCCGCUAUUAAGGGUUCGUUUGUUCAACGAUUAAAACCCUACGUG
rnacentral:rRNA from 1 species